UCUGUAGCUGGGUGAUGAGAUGAGGGAGGAGGAGCCAGGAGGAACCCAAGAAUCUCAGAAGGCCCCAGGACCCACGGCCUGGACAGUUUGGGAGGAAGAAUGAAGCAGAGUAAAGCACAUCACAGAGUAAAAAUGUAAACAAACCAGAGAAGAGAAGAAAUGGAGUGGAACACAAAUUAUGUAUUCAAACCAGAAGUGAAAGAGGAAGGAA
rnacentral:lncRNA from 1 species